rnacentral:rRNA from 1 species
CUGAACCAGCCAAGUAGCGUGAAGGAUGACUGCCCUAUGGGUUGUAAACUUCUUUUAUAAAGGAAUAAAGUCGGGUAUGCAUACCCGUUUGCAUGUACUUUAUGAAUAAGGAUCGGCUAACUCCGUGCCAGCAGCCGCGGUAAUACGGAGGAUCCGAGCGUUAUCCGGAUUUAUUGGGUUUAAAGGGAGCGUAGGCGGACGCUUAAGUCAGUUGUGAAAGUUUGCGG